CCUUUAAACCAGCCUGCUCCUCCUCACAGACCCGACUGAGCCUCCAUCCCCCAGCCCCGCUGCUGCCUCGCUCUCAAACCGGCGGGGAGAACCGCGGAGCGCCGCGGAACACCGAAGAAAAGAUCCAGGAGGAGAACCGGAGAGAGCGGCUCACACAGAGGCAUCCAGGCCGACGAGGAGUGAGUGUGCGCCGGGGACGAUGGACGGAUACGGAUCGGUAGGUCGGUCGGUCGGACCGGGACUCUUUUUUUUUUUUUUUUUUGUCUUCCUGAAUCACAUCAACAAAGACUGAGACCACGUGACCUGAGGGAGGCCACUCCCACCGAGGGAGAGAGAGAGAGAGAGAGAGAGAAGGGGGGGGGGGGGCUCCAAUUUCAGCUCUAAUUAUAAUAAUAACAGUGAUAUUAGUAAUAGUUAUAGUAAUAUAAUGUUAAUAACGUGAUAAUAAACAGAGAGGAUGAGCAGCAGAAUAAUCAUAGAUUUUUUUUUAAUAAUCAGAUUUUAUUUUAUUUUCAUAAUUUACAUCAAAACAAAUAUUUUAAUUCAAAUAAGGUCGAAAAUGACAAGAAAAGGAGAAAACAUGAGGGUGAAAAACAACAACAACAACAGUGUGUCCUCAAUUAAAGAAAUAUGUGUCCUUGUAUUUAUUAAAAAAGUAUUUUUCAUCAUCAGCUCAGUCCAGGACCCCCUAAACCACCGUCUCCCCUCUGUAUAAUUUCACUUUGACCUUUAGGAAAGUAACCAAUAAGGAGCCUCUGUGUGUCCAUAAAGAUAUUAUUAUUACAUUUGAAUUUGGCUCUUAUCCUUUCCACCAAUAAACAUUCUUUGUACCUCUGAGUCACAGUGGAGGUUUGUUAAAUCGUUUACAGUUUCUGUCCAAAAAUCAAAGUUUAUUCAGUCAUUUUGAUCUUUUCUUACAUCCAGAACUCUGUUUUGAACUUUGAUAUUCUUGGACAUCUCCAGAAGUAUAUAUUUGUGUAUAUAUGUUCACAUCUGUUAACUUACAUUUAAGGCACAGUGGUGAUCUAUUAGAGUCAGAUUAGUUCAUAACCUGAGGUGUCCAUCUGUCUGAGAAAUAUUCGACUAUAUUUCUUUGAGUUGAUCACUGACAAUCAGAGAGUGAGCGGUCUGAAUGAAGGUGAAAUGUAGUGAAAUUAGAAUAAAAAUGUUGAGACAGAAUAAAUAAAUGUAAAUUUCAGAAAAUCAAAGUAGAUCAAAAUAUAAACUGUAAUUUUAAUAAAAGAUUACACAACUCUCAAAAUAAUCUGCAUUAGUCGAGUCAUUACCGCAGAAUCAUCAACCACAAACCUUUUUAUUUUAUUUUAUAAAACUUAAAAAUAAUAAACAUGUCAUUAGAUAUUUCUGACAAGCUCUCAAAUUUACUGUAAUGACUGUUUUUUUCUGCUUUUUCUCUGUUUCUGACUUCCUGCUCCUCACUAAUCUGAUGAUCAUGAAGAGAUUAAAAAUAUUCAGAUUAAAGACUCGCUAUCAAAUGGAGUCUUCUUUCUUUCUUUCUUUCUUUCUUUGAACACAGAGGAGCCUCAACAGUCGAGUCUCAGCCUGAUCAGUUUACAUCUUUUUAUCUCACAGAUAAUAAAUCAUAUUAUUUUACCUCUCACCUGCUUUUCUUAUGAACUCCAUUCCUCUGCCUGGACUGACUGUCUUUAA